rfam:Rhizobium oryzae strain 1.7048 C530, whole genome shotgun sequence.
UUCCGGCUUUCCAUCAGCCGGGGUUACUGAAGAGGCACACCUUCAUUGCCGGACGUGCGGUCGGGUCCCCCGUCCAAUCCAUGGCAGACAUAGCCGGAUCGAAGCCUGAGGCAGGCUUUGCUCCACCGUUUGCGCGAUUCAUGCGCCCGCUUGGU